rnacentral:rRNA from 1 species
GAUGAACACUGGCGGCGUGCCUAAUACAUGCAAGUCGAGCGAACAGACGAGGAGCUUGCUCCUCUGACGUUAGCGGCGGACGGGUGAGUAACACGUGGAUAACCUACCUAUAAGACUGGGAUAACUUCGGGAAACCGGAGCUAAUACCGGAUAAUAUAUUGAACCGCAUGGUUCAAUAGUGAAAGACGGUUUUGCUGUCACUUAUAGAUGGAUCCGCGCCGCAUUAGCUAGUUGGUAAGGUAACGGCUUACCAAGGCAACGAUGCGUAGCCGACCUGAGAGGGUGAUCGGCCACACUGGAACUGAGACACGGUCCAGACUCCUACGGGAGGCAGCAGUAGGGAAUCUUCCGCAAUGGGCGAAAGCCUGACGGAGCGACGCCGCGUGAGUGAUGAAGGUCUUCGGAUCGUAAAACUCUGUUAUUAGGGAAGAACAAAUGUGUAAGUAACUAUGCACGUCUUGACGGUACCUAAUCAGAAAGCCACGGCUAACUACGUG